GCAAGUCGAGCGGUAACAGAUUGAUAGCUUGCUAUCAAUGCUGACGAGCGGCGGACGGGUGAGUAAUGCCUGGGAAUAUGCCCUGAUGUGGGGGAUAACUAUUGGAAACGAUAGCUAAUACCGCAUAAUCUCUUCGGAGCAAAGAGGGGGACCUUCGGGCCUCUCGCGUCAGGAUUAGCCCAGGUGGGAUUAGCUUGUUGGUGGGGUAAUGGCUCACCAAGGCAACGAUCCCUAGCUGGUCUGAGAGGAUGAUCAGCCACACUGGAACUGAGACACGGUCCAGACUCCUACGGGAGGCAGCAGUGGGGAAUAUUGCACAAUGGGGGAAACCCUGAUGCAGCCAUGCCGCGUGUAUGAAGAAGGCCUUCGGGUUGUAAAGUACUUUCAGUUGUGAGGAAGGCGUUGAUGUUAAUAGCUUCAGCGUUUGACGUUAGCAACAGAAGAAGCACCGGCUAACUCCGUGCCAGCAGCCGCGGUAAUACGGAGGGUGCGAGCGUUAAUCGGAAUUACUGGGCGUAAAGCGCAUGCAGGUGGUCUGUUAAGCAAGAUGUGAAAGCCCGGGGCUCAACCUCGGAACAGCAUUUUGAACUGGCAGACUAGAGUACUGUAGAGGGGGGUAGAAUUUCA
rnacentral:rRNA from 1 species